CCGCCCACUGUUGGGACGGUCCCUCCAUGCAGCGUCAACCAAUGAGAACGCAGUGUCAGCCAUGGAACGCGUGUAGUCUCCAUGGAAACACUGGAGCGAAGGGGAGGCGGUUACCUAGCAACCGAGAGAUGCGGAGAGCAACCGCCUAGCGGUUGGAAAGUGCAUUUUUCAGAGUCCUAGGAAUCCGAGCUGACCGAUCACUGACAGGGGCGAUUGACUCCUAGUUGUCCCCCUAAACCCUAGGGGCCUUUGGCCCCGACCCCAUCAUGACGUCCCCCCUGUGCAGGGCGGCCUCUGCCAACGCCCUGCCUCCUCAGGAUCAGGCUUCGACGCCCUCUUCCAAGGUCAAGGGCAGGGAGACUUCGGGCAAACCCAGCCAUCUCCGAGGAAAGGGCACAACCCAGGCUUGGACCCUCGGCCGAUCCAAGGCAGGAUCCUUCCGCAGAGGUUCAGGGAAGUCCUCUAUGCACUCGCAGGUGGCUGAAUUACGUAGAAAGAUACAACUGCUAGAGGGUGACCGGAAGGCUUUUUUUGAGAGCUCACAGUGGAACAUCAAGAAGAACCAGGAGACCAUCAGUCAGCUCCGUGAGGAGACUAAGGCACUGGAACUAAAGCUGCUGGACCUGCUCAAGGGAGAUGAGAAAGUGGUCCAGGCAGUGAUACGAGAAUGGAAGUCAGAGAAGCCAUACCUCAAGAACAGGACAGGCCAGCAGGCUCUGGAGCACCUAGACCACCGGCUGAGCGAGAAGGUGAAGCAGCGGAACGCCCUGCAGCACCAGCUGGUGUUGCGGCAGAGGCGGCUGGAGGAGCUCCAGCUACAGCACAGCCUGUGCCACCUGGAGAUGGCAGAGGCGCAAAACAGCCACUCGGAGGUGGCCAAGACCAUGCGGAACCUGGAGAACCGCCUGGAGAAGGCCCGGAUGAAGGCAGAGGAGGCCGAGCACAUUACCAGCGUGUACCUGCAGCUCAAGGCCUAUCUACAGGAUGAGAGCCUCCACUUGGAGAACCGGCUGGACUUCAUGGAGGCUGAGGUGGUGAGGGCCAAACACGAGCUGGAGGCACUGCACCUGGUGAACCAAGAGGCCCUCAACGCCCGGGAGAUUGCCAAGAACCAACUGCAGUAUCUGGAGGAGACCUUGGUUCGAGAGCGCAAGAAGCGGGAACGCUACAUAAGUGACUGCAAGAAGCGCGCUGAGGAGAGGAAACUGGAGAACGAGCGCAUGGAGCGCAAGACCCACCGUGAGCACCUGCUGCUGCAGUCUGAAGACACCACCCAAGAUAGCCUGCAUGCCAAGGAGGAGGAGCUGCGGCAGCGCUGGAGCAUGUACCAGAUGGAGGUGAUCUUUGACAAGGUCAAGGACGCCACCGGCACUGCCGAGUCGCACGCGGUGGUGCGGCGGUUCCUGGCCCAGGGAGACACCUUCGCGAAGCUGGAGACGCUCAAAAGCGAGAACGAGCAGACGUUGGUGAGGCUGAAGCAGGAGAAGCAACAGCUGCAGCGGGAGCUGGAAGACCUCAAGUACUCGGGGGAGGCCACAAUGCCAGCAGAAACUGCAAGCCGAGGCGCGGGAACGCCUCAAGCAGGAGGAGCGGCGGCACGCCGAGGCCCAGGACCAGCUGGAGCGCACCUUGCGGGCGAUGCAAGUGGCCAAGGACAGCCUGGAGCACCUGGCCAGCAAGCUGAUCCGCAUCACUGUGGAGGACGGUCGCUUCGCGGGAAAGGAGCUGGAUCCCCAGGCAGAUAACUAUCUGCCAAACCUGCUGGGCCUCGUGGAGGAAAAGCUGCUGAAACUGCAGUCGCAGCUCGGGAGCCACGACGUCCAGGAGAUGCUGCGUCACAUCACCAACCGCGAGUUCCUUGCCAGCUUAGAGGGAAGGCUGCCCCAAUACAACACCCGCAUCGCCCUGCCGCUUCCUACUUCCAAGGACAAGUUUUUUGAUGAAGAGAGUGAGGAGGAGGACAACGAGGUAGUGACCCGCGCAUCGCUCAAGAUCCGUUCCCAGAAAUUAAUCGAAAGCCGCAAGAAGCACCAUCGCUCUCGGAGGUCCUAGACUCGUCCUGGCAGCCCCCAGCGGAGCCCCCGAUUCCUCCGGGUCUAGCGAAGGCCCCACGGGGCCCCUUUAAGGGCCGAACGCGGUCUGGAUAGGGAGCCGAGGCGGCCAGCGGCGCCCGGAGGAGAAGAAGGAGCUGGGCCAGACGUUCCCACAGUAAAUUUCCCCAGCUGGGUCUGCCCUGGCCUCAGAAUUGUGCAAUAAAGGUCACAGACCAAG